rnacentral:rRNA from 1 species
GAUGAACGCUGGCGGCGUGCUUAACACAUGCAAGUCGAACGGUGAAGGCGGAGCUUGCUCUGCUGGAUCAGUGGCGAACGGGUGAGUAACACGUGAGCAAUCUGCCCCUGACUCUGGGAUAAGCGCUGGAAACGGCGUCUAAUACUGGAUACGAGCUGCGAAGGCAUCUUCAGCAGCUGGAAAGAAUUUCGGUCAGGGAUGAGCUCGCGGCCUAUCAGCUUGUUGGUGAGGUAAUGGCUCACCAAGGCGUCGACGGGUAGCCGGCCUGAGAGGGUGACCGGCCACACUGGGACUGAGACACGGCCCAGACUCCUACGGGAGGCAGCAGUGGGGAAUAUUGCACAAUGGGCGAAAGCCUGAUGCAGCAACGCCGCGUGAGGGACGACGGCCUUCGGGUUGUAAACCUCUUUUAGCAGGGAAGAAGCGAAAGUGACGGUACCUGCAGAAAAAGCGCCGGCUAGCUACGUG